rnacentral:rRNA from 1 species
UUCAGAGGAACCUGUCCUAUAAUUGAUAAUCCACGAUUUAAUUUACUUAUUUUAUUAAUUUACAUAUCGCCGUAGUUUAAAUAUUUUAUUAGAAUAAUAAUAUUUAUAAAUUUUUUUAAGAAAAAAAAUUAGGUCAAGGUGUAGUUUAUAAAUAAGAAGAGAUGGGUUACAAUAAAAUUAUUUAAGCGGAUUAUUUUUUUAAAAAAAGUUUGAAGAUGGAUUUGAUAGUAAUUUUAAUUAAUUAAUUAAAAUGAUUUAAGCUCUAAAAUAUGUACAUAUCGCCCGUCACUUUCACUAUAAAGUGAAAUAAGUCGUAACAUAGUAGAUGUACUGGAAAGUGUAUCUAGAAUGACAAAUUAGAGCUUGUUAUAAAGCAUUUUAUUUACAUUAAAAAGUUUAUUGUGAAAAUCAAUAUUAUUUGAAUUAAGAUUAUUAUUUAUUUAUUUAAAUUUAUAAAUUUUUAAAAAAAAUAUUUUUAUGUUUUAUUAAUUAAAGGAAAAAAUUUAUUUUAUUAUAGAUUAUUAGUAUUGUUAAAGAAAUAAUUAUAAAUUUUUAAAAAAAUAAUUUAUUUUUAAAAAACAUGUCCUUUUGAUUUUUAUUUAAGGUCUGACCUGCCCACUGAAUAAUUUAAGGGCCGCGGUAUUUUGACCGUGCAAAGGUAGCAUAAUCAUUAGUUUUUUAAUUUAAAGCUGGAAUGAAAGGUUGAAUGAGAAAAUUUCUGUCUCUAUUUAAAUUAAUUAAAAUUUUAUUUUUAAGUUAAAAAGCUUAAAUAAGUUUUGAAGACGAGAAGACCCUAUAGAGUUUUAUAAUUAUUUAAUUAAAAUAAUUUAUGAUUAAUUUUAUUUUAUUUAUAAAAUUAUUUAAUUGGGGUGAUUAAAAAAUUAAAUUAACUUUUUUAUAUUUUAACAUAAAUUAAUGAUUGAUUGAUCCUUUAUUAAGAUUAAAAGAAUAAAUUACCUUAGGGAUAACAGCGUAAUUUUUUUUUAGAGUUCUAAUCAAAAGAAAAGAUUGCGACCUCGAUGUUGGAUUAAAAUUUAUUUUUGGUGUAGUAGCUAAAUAAUUAGGUCUGUUCGACCUUUAAAAUUUUACUUGAUCUGAGUUCAAACCGGUGUAAGCCAGGUUGGUUUCUAUCUCAAAAAAUUAAAAAUAUUUUAGUACGAAAGGACCAAAUAUUUAAUUAAUAAUUUUUAUUUGAAUAAUAUUAGUUAUUUUGGCAGAAUAGUGCGAUAGAUUUAGAAUCUUUAUAUGUAAUUUUUACAAAUAAUACUUGAUAUUUAAAGAUUUAUUUUUGAUGUUAAUUUCUUUAUUAAUUUUAGCAUUAUGUGUUAUAAUUGGAGUAGCUUUUUUAACAUUAUUAGAGCGUAAAGUUUUAGGAUAUAUUCAAAUUC